AGAAGUUACUGCACCCCGAUGUUAAGUGGGGCCUACCGUGAUUUCUUUGAGAAAUCCACCCUGUCCAUUCGUUUUUAAAUAUCAUUUUUGGACGUUAGAAAAAAAAAUGAAGAGGAUCCAAAAAUCAAUUGGGCCACGCGAGAGGAAACAGUGGGGAUUGAAUGACCACCAUUGAAACAUUCUCAGCGCUUCAGAAGUUUCGCAUCAGGCUAAGAUUUUUGUAUUUUUAGUUCAUCCCAAUGGGAAUGGUCUUAUGAACGGUUUGGAUGGCAUAUAAACAUCAAGGUGGACUGCAGGAGGGUUUCAACGGUAGGAAUUUCUUUCCAUACCGUUUCCUCUCGUGUGGCCGACUUGAGUUUUGGGUCUACCAUAUUUUUCCCGAUAUGUACUAAAAUUAUCUAGAAAAACGGAUGGACGGGUUGGAUUUCUCAAAAACAGCAAGUUGUGCUCCACCUAGCUUCCGGGACACCCAGUUGAAGGGAAACCGCGUCCCGAUAAGUCAAAGGUGUGUGUCUGAGAGAGAAACCAAACGUGGAAAUGGCAGCAGAGGGUGUUGUUAGCUUUCUCAUCGGCAAGUUGGACUCUUUCCUCGUGGAAGAAGCAAAAUUUCUGAAGGAUGUUUCCACUGAAGUCCGCUGGAUCAAAGACGAGCUACAGAUCAUGAAAGCAUUCUUAAGAGACGCAGAUGCAAGGGCUAAUAGCGACGCUGUGGUGAAAACAUGGGUGAAACAAGUCAGAGAAGUCGCUUACGACAUCGAGGAUGUUAUCGAUGAAUUCGUGCUUCGACUGAAACAAGAACCGAUCCAUCAUGGCGAUGGAGUCAAGGGUUUUCUUGGUAGAACCAUGCAAUACAUUGAGCAACCCAACAAGCGCCGUCGGCUUGCCAACCAGAUACAAGAACUUAGAACCCGAAUCGUAGACAUUUCAUCCAGAAAAGCAAAUUUUGACUUCAAGAUGAUUGAGCUAGCCUCAUCAAGUUCCAAUCGUUCAUCUGAUCAAGUAAGCCAUCUUCGAUCAACUGCUCGUUUUGUGGAGGAAGCUGAUCUUGUAGGCAUAGACAAUCCAAGAAAUGAAUUGAUUGGAUUGUUAGUAGAUGGAGGAUCAGGGCUUAGGACGAUUUCUGUAGUUGGAAUGGGUGGUCUGGGCAAAACAACUCUGGUAGGAAAAGUCUAUGAUAACAAACGGGUGAAAACAGAAUUUGAAGCCUUUGCUUGGGUCGCCGUCUCGCAGACAUUCACCAUUGAUGAUAUCUUCAGAAGCAUGGCAAAGCAAAUUUGUGAGGGCAGGAUCAGACAAGUGGACACAAUGGGAAAGGAAAAACUAAUAGAGAUGCUGAGGAGCUAUUUACAGCAAAAGAGGUAUGUAAUUGUUCUUGAUGAUCUAUGGAAAGUAGAUGAUUGGGAAUGUUUAAGAAUUGGAUUACCCAAUGGUGAAUGUGGGAGUAGGAUAAUGGUCACCACCCGCAAUAGUGAGGUGGCUGCUGCUUGUGCUAGAACUUCCGACCAUGUCUACAAUCUUCAACCAUUGCCUUUUAAACAAGGUUGGACCCUCUUUUGUAGGAAGGCAUUCCAAACUGACUUGGGAGGAAAUUGUCCUCCUUACUUGCAGCCAUUAUCUGAAAAGUUUGUGCGAAAAUGUGGAGGAUUGCCUCUAGCAAUAGCAGCCAUAGGAAGUCUUCUGUUGGGUAAGUCUAAAAAUCUGGUGGAAUGGCAAAAACUGUAUAAUAACCUCGGACACCAGAUAAAGAGCAGUAGCAGCCUCACAAGUAUGAAUCAAAUACUAUCAUUGAGUUUCAAUGAAUUGCCGUCCUACCUCAGGCCUUGUUUCAUAUAUGUAAGCAUUUUUCCGGAGGAUCAUUUGAUCAGACGGAUGAGAUUAAUUCAGCUAUGGGUAGCAGAAGGGUUUGUAGAAAGAAAGGAAGGCAUGACAUUAGAGGAGGUUGCUAAUGACUACCUCCAUGAGCUCAUCAAUAGGAGCUUGAUCCAAGUGGCAUCAUAUACUGAUUAUGGUACAAUCAAAACUUGCCGUGUCCAUGAUGUCGUGCGUGAGAUCAUUCUUUCGAAAGCUAGGGAAGAGAUUUUCUUGACGCUCCCAAAUGGAACAGAAGUAAGUGAUAAAACCCGGCGCUUGGCAGUUCAUGACAGUGAGAACAUUGUUCCAAAGAAUGAUUUGUCCCAUGUUCGCACCUUUGUCGUAUUUGGAGAAAAUAGAUGGCCUGAUUCUUUAAUGAAUGCUUGGAUUUCUGGCUUUAGGUUGCUGAAGGUUUUGGAUUUAGAGGGUACAGGUGUAGAUAAAUUUCCAAGUGAGAUUGUAAACCUAUUCCAUUUGAGGUUUCUAAGCUUGAGAAAUACAUGGAUUAAGACACUUCCAGAGUCCAUUGGUAAGCUUAAAAACCUAGAAUCAUUGGACCUUCAAGACACAUGUAUUUGGGAGCUACCCACCAGUAUUGUCAAACUCGAGUACUUACGCCAUCUCCUUGUGCAUUACAAACAUGGUAGCAUGAUAGGGGUUAAGUUGAUUCCUGGAGUAGGGGGUUUAAGAUCCCUACAGCAGUUGGGUUAUAUAAAGAUAGACCAGAGCAAUGGUUGUAUGGUAAGAGAGCUAGGAAAGCUCACCCAGCUCAAGUGGCUGGGAAUUUCAGAGUUGACAAGUGAACAUGGGUUUGAUCUAUGUGCCUCCAUUGACAAGAUGACAUGCCUUUCCUCGCUUUCUGCUUCUUCAGUAUACGAGGGGUUUGGGCUUCUUGAUUUGAAGUCUCUAUCAUCUCCUCCACCGCUCCUUGAACAUGUGCAUUUGAGAGGGCAUUUAGAAGAAUUACCGCAGUGGAUUCACUCGCUUUCGAACCUUGUGCACUUAACAUUGAAAUGGUCAGGAUUGAAGGAAGACCCACUUAGUGCCCUACAACAUUUAUCGAAUCUGAUGAAGCUCAGACUAAUAGGAGCUUAUGAUGGAAAAGAAUUAUGUUGUGAGGGGGACGGGUUUCAAAUGCUCAAGUCAUUGUUCCUCUUUGAAUUACAAGAAUUGAAAUUGGUGAGAGUAGAGAAAGGAGCCAUGCCAAGCCUCCAAAAGCUAGACAUUCGGCAAUGCACGGAAUUAGAGAAGGUGCCUUUUGGCAUCGAACAUCUUACCCACCUCAAAGAGCUCCAUUUUGAUGACACCGCAGAGACAUUGAGGAAAAGCAUAGAAAGGGAUGGAGGUGAAGAUCACUGGAAAAUCAGCCACGUCCCCCUCCUCAAAUUUGACCGAUGAUCGAAUAUGGAACUGACCUUGAAACUGUUCAUAACCAAAUUGCCAACAUACUGCACACUGUCAAUGGAUGGAAAUCUACCGUCUAAAAGCUAGAAGUGUGCCUCAAGCAUUCGAAUUUUGAAUUGGUUGCAAAAAGAUAAUGGCAUCAGCAGUGGCAGUAGCAUUCAACAGGAUUGAAAGAGCACAUCGGCUCUACAAAGGUGCAUGACAUGACGAGGUCCUGGCCUUUUACACUGAAGCACUGGCGAAGGCAUAGAUAAAAGCACAGAAGAUUGCUCUUCAUAGCAACCGGGUAGCAUGCUAUUUGAAAUUGCAUGAUUUAAAGAAGGUGAUGAUCCCAGCUAUUUAAAGAGAUAUCAAUCACAUAUUUGUUUCUACGAAUGCUUUUUCUUUUCUUUUCUUAUCCUUUGUCUAUUUAGAUGAGUUAAAAUGCUGAUUCUAUGAUUCUACAUUUUCCAUAUACAGUCCUCUAGCUUACAUGAGGCCCACCAGCACUUUCAUCCACUGUAUAUCAUGCGUGGCCCAUGUACAAACCUUUUGAUUAAGAGAUAAUAUCAUAGAAAGCUCAGGCCAAGAGUUGGACAA